CGCUAUACUAACCCUGAACUUAUCGGCUCACUGCUACGAGCCGGUUUUCAUUAAAC
rfam:Salmonella enterica subsp. enterica serovar Newport str. S09097 S_Newport_S09097_mira454_c1511, whole genome shotgun sequence.